rnacentral:rRNA from 1 species
GACGUAGGGCGCGAGCGUUGUCCGGAUUUAUUGGGCGUAAAGAGCUCGUAGGCGGUUUGUCGCGUCUGCUGUGAAAUCCCGAGGCUCAACCUCGGGCCUGCAGUGGGUACGGGCAGACUAGAGUGCGGUAGGGGAGAUUGGAAUUCCUGGUGUAGCGGUGGAAUGCGCAGAUAUCAGGAGGAACACCGAUGGCGAAGGCAGAUCUCUGGGCCGUAACUGACGCUGAGGAGCGAAAGCGUGGGGAGCGAACAGG